rnacentral:rRNA from 1 species
UUCUAAGGGCGUUGAAGCAUGAUCGCAAGGACAUGUGGAGCGCUUAGAAGUGAGAAUGCCGGUGUGAGUAGCGAAAGACGGGUGAGAAUCCCGUCCACCGAUUGACUAAGGUUUCCAGAGGAAGGCUCGUCCGCUCUGGGUUAGUCGGGUCCUAAGCUGAGGCCGACAGGCGUAGGCGAUGGAUAACAGGUUGAUAUUCCUGUACCACCAUUAUUCGUUUUAAGCGAUGGGGGGACGCAGUAGGAUAGGCGAAGCGUGCUGUUGGAGUGCACGUCCAAGCAGUGAGAUUGAGUGUUAGGCAAAUCCGGCACUCUUAAGAUUGAGCUGUGAUGGGGAGAGGAACUUGUUCCUCGAGUCGUUGAUUUCACACUGCCGAGAAAAGCCUCUAGCUAGAAUAACGGUGCCCGUACCGCAAACCGACACAGGUAGUCAAGAUGAGAAUUCUAAGGUGAGCGAGCGAACUCUCGUUAAGGAACUCGGCAAAAUGACCCCGUAACUUCGGGAGAAGGGGUGCUCUUUGAGGUUCACGCUUCGAAGAGCCGCAGUGAAUAGGCCCAAGCGACUGUUUAUCAAAAACACAGGUCUCUGCUAAACCGUAAGGUGACGUAUAGGGGCUGACGCCUGCCCGGUGCUGGAAGGUUAAGAGGAGUGGUUAGCGCAAGCGAAGCUACGAAUCGAAGCCCCAGUAAACGGCGGCCGUAACUAUAACGGUCCUAAGGUAGCGAAAUUCCUUGUCGGGUAAGUUCCGACCCGCACGAAAGGCGUAACGAUUUGGGCACUGUCUCAACGAGAGACUCGGUGAAAUCAUAGUACCGGUGAAGAUGCCGGUUACCCGCGACAGGACGGAAAGACCCCGUGGAGCUUUACUGUAGCCUGAUAUUGAAAUUCGGUACAGUUUGUACAGGAUAGGUAGGAGCCUUAGAAGCGUGAGCGCUAGCUUACGUGGAGGCAUUGGUGGGAUACUACCCUAAUUGUAUUGGAUUUCUAACCCGCAGCACUUAUCGUGCUGGGAGACAGUGUCAGGCGGGCAGUUUGACUGGGGCGGUCGCCUCCUAAAGAGUAACGGAGGCGCUCAAAGGUUCCCUCAGAAUGGUUGGAAAUCAUUCAUAGAGUGUAAAGGCAUAAGGGAGCUUGACUGCGAGACCUACAAGUCGAGCAGGGUCGAAAGACGGACUUAGUGAUCCGGUGGUUCCGCAUGGAAGGGCCAUCGCUCAACGGAUAAAAGCUACCCCGGGGAUAACAGGCUUAUCUCCCCCAAGAGUUCACAUCGACGGGGAGGUUUGGCACCUCGAUGUCGGCUCAUCGCAUCCUGGGGCUGUAGUCGGUCCCAAGGGUUGGGCUGUUCGCCCAUUAAAGCGGUACGCGAGCUGGGUUCAGAACGUCGUGAGACAGUUCGGUCCCUAUCCGUCGUGGGCGUAGGAAAUUUGAGAGGAGCUGUCCUUAGUACGAGAGGACCGGGAUGGACAUACCUCUGGUGUACCAGUUGUCGUGCCAACGGCAUAGCUGGGUAGCUAUGUAUGGACGGGAUAAGUGCUGAAAGCAUCUAAGCAUGAAGCCCCCCUCGAGAUGAGAUUUCCCAACUUCGGUUAUAAGAUCCCUCAAAGAUGAUGAGGUGAAUAGGUUCGAGGUGGAAGCGUAGCGAUACGUGGAGCUGACGAAUACUAAUCGAUCGAAGAC